rnacentral:tRNA from 1 species
AGCCUCGUCGUCUAGUGGCCAAGGACCCCAGGCUUUGGACCUGGGUACAUCGGUUCGAAUCCGAUCGAGGCUA